GGUGGAUGACAAUAGCCAAUGUGUCGGAUGCUAGUGAACACGGACAAUGGUGUGUGCUUUGUCCUUUUAUAAAAUUCUCUUGGAUGUUUUGGUUACAUCUCCUUGCUGAAUUAAAGAACACUUUUAAUAGGAAGGAUUUUGAAGGGAAAAUGCCUUAAGCCCUUCUUUAAACACCCAAUUUGCCGUGGCACAUGCCCCAGGGGGAGGAGUGAGACCAAGACUUUUGAGGCGUGUUCCACAAAGCCUGUCUUUGGAUCUCGGGGAUGUUUGCUCAUUCCCAUGGGGACAACGGAAUGCUUCAGGGGGCCUGGGGUGGGAGGCGGGCUGGGCACUGCUGCUAGGCAUCUUGCCGAGAGGAAGCCGACACCUCGUCAUCCAUCAGGCCACCCCGGCCCCCGCUUCUGUUAUUAGGGGAGGAAAAUGAAACCCAGUUCCAAAUCAUCUUGCUAUUUAGGGAGCUCAGUGGGCAGCUGGGAGACAUGACGAAAACAACACAAACAACUAGAGAACAAUUAUGCACCAAGAUACACGGCACUGAUGAUGAGCUGUGUGAGAUGUCUCUGCACAGGAGAUGCCUAGGCAAACUUGAAGUGUAAGCAGCUGCAGCUAAUCCACUGGUGACGUCUCUGGAUACGAGCUAAAAAAUGACUCUCAAUAAUAGGGUGGGGAGGGGCGGAUCCGCCUGCAUGACGCCAGCCAGAAUUUAUUAAACUUUCUUUUUUUUUAAUUUCUUUUAAUUUCCCCUACUUAUUGGGCUCGAGAAGCUCAUCAGUCACAGGGCGCCUGCUGCGGGAGGGACUGCCGGGCACCAUCCGGUCUCGCCUGUGCCCCCUGCGCGUGCAGGGCUGCGUUCACACCACACACACCCUCACCUCCUCGGGCCGCAGUGGCCAAGGCUGGGCAGAUCAGAAGCCAGGAGCCAGGAGCUUCUUCUGGGUCUCCCACAUGGGUGCAGGGGCCCAAGCACUUGGGCCAUCUUCUCCUGGGUUCCCAGGCCAUAGCAGAGAGCUGGAUCGGAAGUAGAGCAGCUGGGACUUGAACUGAUGCCCAUAUGGGAUGCUGGCCCUGCAGGCAGCAGCUUAACCUAUUACGCUGUGUGCUGGGGCCAAGAUGGUACUUUAAGCAUAGCAAUGUCUAGUGCUCCAACAGGGACAGUCCCAGGAGGGGCACUUGACCCACAACCCCUGAAGUCCAUGGGUCAUGCUCAGGGCAGGGCCUCGGCUGCAACUCGCUGGUCCCACCCCUAAAUCUCAGAGUCAGGGCGCAGCGCUCAUUCUUUCGCAUUGAAACCCCCUGCCAUCCCCUGACCUCAUCUCUGCUGCUCCCCUUCCCAAGGUCUCAGCUCUGGCGCUCCGUUUCCUCACUCACCAGCCUUGCCUGUGCCUGCUCUAUCAGGGAGCACAUGGUCUGUCACCCCUCAUGUGGGCCUCUUGGGCCAUAUUGGUAUAGGACACCCCCAAGACUGGCUGGAGGAGUUACUAUGGAACCCCCAGAACUGCAUGUGUAGAGGAAAUACGGCCGCAACCAGAGACAAAGAAAGAAAAGUGGACCGCUUCUCCCAACAAAAGCCUUGAAACAUGGCUGCUGGCAAUUAACUAGCGAAGCAGCUGCCCACUGUAAUCUUGUCUAGGGAGGGAAGACGUCCUCAGUUCUGCUUCUGUAAAUUGUAAACCUGCCCCUGGUAUCUCUUUUACAAACAUACCAGGCCCACCGACCAUGGCAAGUGUGGUCCUAAGUCACGCAGCUGCAAUUUAAACACACCAAUGCUGUAAUUGCUAAGGUAUGACACUGAUGAACCUAUAAAUAUUGUAAGGAACUUGGGAUUGUUGCUCAGUUCUCAGGAAAUGAUUCCAGCUGAGCCCACGGGCAUAAUAGACUGGAUCCUCCACUGUCUCUGGUGCCUGUUUGAAUGGAGGGGGUUUUCUCAUCCCAGGUUUCUGUGACAGGUGCACUUGAGUGCCACACGGCAAGCCAAUCACUGACCUCAGGGUAGUGGGGGGAAGGAGUGUUUCUUGCAAAGCACAGAGCAAGGAGCUGAGCAGCUCUCAAUUCCUGGGCUCCCCGAGAAGCCACAGGUCCAGGUUCUUGCAGGCAAGGUGCAUAUGCAGCGUGUGUGUGGGUUCCUGUUGGCCGGCACUGUUCACGGUGCCCCCUCAGUUGGCAGGCAGGGUCAUGCUCUUUGGGGAAUUUGGAUGUUGGCAAAAUGGGCUCCAGACAGGUGGGCAUUACUUCCCACUCAGACCUGGGGUCUCCUGCCCUCAAGACCGCACCCCGCAUCACGAAGUUACCUGCAGUCAAGAUAUUGAUCGCCUGAGUCUCACAUUCAGGGCCCCCACAGGGCCAUUCACACCAGCCCCUCCGUUCUCUGUGUUCAUUUCAGAAAGAGGUUGAUUGGCAAUCCCAAUAGUGGGGGCCUGGAAACCUGACCCCGAGGGAGGGAGGCUGGGAGCCAGGAGUAGGCGCCGUUCCGGACCCCAGGGCAGCCGUCCCAGCUCCAGGAUCCCGGAGCGACGAAGCAGUCGGCGGUUUCUUCCAGCUCACAGCCGUUUCCCUCUGGCGGGGUGAGGGUGGACCAUCGGGCAGUCUGUGUUCUUCCUGGGAUCGCUGCCUCAAUUAUAGGCUCUGGCAGGAGGCAGCGGAGUGUGUAAUAGCCCUCAUUGUUUCAUUAGGGGCCCUGUGUUUAAUUAAGAUAACUUUACUGCUUGCCAAAGGAGGAAACAGCACCCCUGCGGGUUGGCAAGAGGUGUGUCUCUUCAUGGCUCCCUGCAGAACCCACCAUCUGGGUCUCCAUGAUCCACAUGCCCCCCCCAUUAUGGGUCUCCCCUCCACCUGGGUCCCCGCGUGUCCCACACCCUCGCCCAUCUUCACCUCCUCGCUCGCCCCCAUCUGAAGACUGAGACUGUGAGCGAGCACGUCUGGGAUGGGGCCUCAGGUGGUUCGGAUACAGGUGUCUCAGGAGCUCACUGGAGAGACCCUGCUGAGGAAGGAGGUUAGAGUGAUACUGAGGCGGACCUUGAGGUUCCAGAAGCUUCCAUCUUGUCUCUUUGUACUGGCCGGGCCUGGGGCAAGCCUUUAGCUCCAUGGAGGACUCAAAAACCAGAGCUGACCAGCCCCAGGUUCUGUCUCGGCAGAACGCUGCUUGGUGAACACCUGCCACACCUUGUCCGAGGCCUUCAGGUGGGAAAUGUACUUCAGCUAGUGCCAGUCCGCUUGGGGGUGGCUGGGGGCAGGCAGAUGUGGGGAUAUCAGCCCAGGAUAGCUGUGUGGUCCAAAACCCGCACCGUGAGGAGAGUAGCAGCCAGGGAGAGCAAGGAUUCACCUUUGCUUCCUGGGCUGGGGGCUUCAGGCUGGGCUUUGGGCAGCGAGCAGGAGUUGCCCAGGUGAACAGGGAAGGUGGGGGAGUGGUUCGGCCUGCCUUUUGAUCCCGCAUCCCACCACACCCCGGCGUCUCGUUUCCCCGUGUGGCAGCCUGCCUCACCGAGCUCCAGGUGACCCACGACCCUGGUUUCCCCCAGCUCCUUGGACAGCACCAUCCAGUGCUGAGUCGCCUGGCACAGUGGGAAUGCCAGGUGACAGCCCUCGUUAUCACACAGUCAAGGGUUCUGCCUGCUGCAUGGCCCUCGGAAGGGACUUCUUUCUUGGGUUUUACUUUGUGGAGUUUUUUGGUGGUUUUUGUUUUAUUUUAUUUUAUUUGGUCUCUGGUCUAUUAUUCUCACAUUUAAUUAAUGUUCCACUUGACUAAUUAGAUACAACAGAAGCAGCUGGGAUCACCUAGCGGCUGGGGGCUGGGUAAUUGCGCAUCUUGAGAGGAGGAGGGAGAGGUUUUGGGGGCAGGGACUGGGACUCAGCCAGCUGCCCGCUACUUCUGCGUCUCUGCCAUGAGGGCUGUGGCUUCUCCAAAGUCACACACAUCUCCACCGUCUCCCAUCUCCCACCUCCCAGGACAGCUUGGGCAGUGGGAGUCUGGGAAUGUGUGGGUCAAAAUGGGGUAUUGUGGGGCUGGUGCUAUGGGAUAGUGGGUUAAGCUUCCACCUUCAUGCUGGUAUCCCAGAUGGGUAGUGGUCUGAGUCCUGGCUGCUCCACCUCUGAUCCAGCUCCCUGAUAAUGUGCCUAGGAAAGCAGCAGAGGAUGGCCCAGGUGCUUGGGCCCCUGUACCCAUGUGGGAGACCUGGAUGAAGCUUUUGGCUCCUGGCUUUGACCUGGCUCAGCUCCAUUAUGGCCAUUUGGAGAGUGAACCAGCAGAUGGAGGAUCUCUCUCUCUCUCUCUCUCUGUGUGUGUGUGUGUGUGUCCCUCUCUUUGUAACCCUGCCUCUCAAAUAAAUCUUUUUUUUUUUUUUUAAAGUGGGUAUGUUGUGGGGCCGGCACUGUGGCAUAUCAGGUAAAGCCGUCGCCUGCAGGGCCGGCAUCCUAUAUGGGCGCCGGUUCACGUCCCAGCUGCUCUACUUCCUAUCCAGCUGUCUGCUGUGGCCUGGGAGACCAGUAGAGCAGCAGUAGUAGGCCCCUGUACCCACCUGGGAGACCCAGAAGAGGCUCCUGGCUUCGGAUUGGCGCAGCUCCGGCCAUUGCGGCCAUCCGGGGAAUGGACCAGCAGAUGGAAGACCUCUCUCUCUGUGUCUCUACCUCUCUUUGUAACUCUGUCUUUCAAAUAAAUAAAAUAUAUUGUUUUAAAAAUGGGUGUGUUGUGUGU